CCUACGGGGGGCAGCAGUAGGGAAUCUUCCACAAUGGACGAAAGUCUGAUGGAGCAACGCCGCGUGAGUGAAGAAGGGUUUCGGCUCGUAAAGCUCUGUUGGUAGUGAAGAAAGAUAGAGGUAGUAACUGGCCUUUAUUUGACGGUAAUUACUUAGAAAGUCACGGCUAACUACGUGCCAGCAGCCGCGGUAAUACGUAGGUGGCAAGCGUUGUCCGGAUUUAUUGGGCGUAAAGCGAGUGCAGGCGGUUCAAUAAAGCUUAUGUGAAAACCUUCGGCUCAACCGGAGAAUUGGAUCAGAAACUU
rnacentral:rRNA from 1 species